UACGGGGGGGGCAAGCGUUGUUCGGAAUUACUGGGCGUAAAGGGCUCGUAGGCGGUUUGUUGCGUCGGCUGUGAAAUCCCGAGGCUCAACCUCGGGUCUGCAGUCGAUACGAGCAAACUAGAGUGUUGCAGGGGAGACUGGAAUUCCUGGUGUAGCGGUGAAAUGCGCAGAUAUCAGGAGGAACACCGGUGGCGAAGGCGGGUCGCUGGGCAACAACUGACGCUGAGGAGCGAAAGCGUGGGGAGCGAACAGG
rnacentral:rRNA from 1 species